rnacentral:rRNA from 1 species
CUGGGACAAGCCCUGGAAACGGGGUCUAAUACCGGAUAUGACCGUCUGCCGCAUGGUGGAUGGUGUAAAGCUCCGGCGGUGCAGGAUGAGCCCGCGGCCUAUCAGCUUGUUGGUGAGGUAGUGGCUCACCAAGGCGACGACGGGUAGCCGGCCUGAGAGGGCGACCGGCCACACUGGGACUGAGACACGGCCCAGACUCCUACGGGAGGCAGCAGUGGGGAAUAUUGCACAAUGGGCGAAAGCCUGAUGCAGCGACGCCGCGUGAGGGAUGACGGCCUUCGGGUUGUAAACCUCUUUCAGCAGGGAAGAAGCGAAAGUGACGGUACCUGCAGAAGAAGCGCCGGCUAACUACGUGCCAGCAGCCGCGGUAAUACGUAGGGCGCAAGCGUUGUCCGGAAUUAUUGGGCGUAAAGAGCUCGUAGGCGGCUUGUCACGUCGGUUGUGAAAGCCCGGGGCUUAACCCCGGGUCUGCAGUCGAUACGGGCAGGCUAGAGUUCGGUAGGGGAGAUCGGAAUUCCUGGUGUAGCGGUGAAAUGCGCAGAUAUCAGGAGGAACACCGGUGGCGAAGGCGGAUCUCUGGGCCGAUACUGACGCUGAGGAGCGAAAGCGUGGGGAGCGAACAGGAUUAGAUACCCUGGUAGUCCACGCCGU